UACGAAGGGUGCAAACGUUGCUCGGAAUCAUUGGGCGUAAAGCGCACGUAGGCGGCUUCGCAAGUCGGAUGUGAAAUCCCACGGCUCAACCAUGGACGUGCAUCCGAAACUGUGAGGCUUGAGUAUGGAAGAGGGUCGCGGAAUUCCCGGUGUAGAGGUGAAAUUCGUAGAUAUCGGGAGGAACACCAGUGGCGAAGGCGGCGACCUGGGCCAAUACUGACGCUGAGGUGCGAAAGCGUGGGGAGCAAACAGG
rnacentral:rRNA from 1 species